UACGGGGGGGGGCAAGCGUUGUUCGGAAUUACUGGGCGUAAAGGGCUCGUAGGUGGCCAACUAAGUCAGACGUGAAAUCCCCAGGCUCAACUUGGGAACUGCGUCUGAUACUGGAUGGCUUGAAUUCGGGAGAGGGAUGCGGAAUUCCAGGUGUAGCGGUGAAAUGCGUAGAUAUCUGGAGGAACACCGGUGGCGAAGGCGGCAUCCUGGACCAAUACUGACGCUGAGGAGCGAAAGCUAGGGGAGCAAACGGG
rnacentral:rRNA from 1 species